UUUGAGUCCUGCCUAAUUUCCCUAACCCGUACUUUGCGCUGCUUGAUUGUAGUGCUUAGUUUCAACAAAUCCCACCAGAUGGCAGUGGGUACGUGACAUAUAAGGCCUUUUGAAGAAUGUGCUCCUUGCUUCCGCCGGCCGGCCAGUCAGUCUCACUUCUAUUGCAGCUAUCGGACGAAGCAGUUUAGAUUUUAAUUUUUUGGACAACGUUUUAAGUUACUUAAAUUGCACGUGAACAUGUGACUUGUAAAAGUAUUAAGCUUGUAGUUUGCGAACUCAAGUGGAAGUUGCAAGAAUGUGAAAUUAGCGAGAUUCGCCAUGAAUUCGGAUCGUCAAGAUGUCAGACCAGCAUGGGGACAUGUCCGGCUCAACCAACUUGGAAAUGAUGAAAAGGUUUCGGUGACCAGGGAUAAAAGCAAAAUCGUUUGAUGGCUUCUUCAACUGGACAGAAUUAAAGUUUCAAAUAAAUCGGCUGAAAUCCUAAAAA